AAGAGCCCUUUCAGGAGACAGUUGUCCCGUCAGGUUAUCUAGUGCCCCAGGCGGGAGCGCCUGCUCUGGGGAUCUGGGUCACGCCCCUUUCUUCUUUCAGCCUUUCGGCCAAAUGAAGUAGCCCAGCGGCUCCUGACUGUCUUUUCUUUACUUUUCUGCCUCCUCUCAGAAAAUCAACAAAGACGGCAUUGAAGACCUUAAUGUAAAUCGUCUGUAGUGAGUUGAAGAAACAGGGAUGAAGUGGACGCAGCAUGUGAAGACAAUUCUUUCAAGAAGUUUGGCUGUAAAGGAAAAGAGAAAGGGGACAUGGGUUCAAGCCCUGGUCCGGGAAGAUUCCACACGCCGCGGAGCAACUAAGCCCGUGCACCACAACUACUAAGCCUACGCUCUACAGCCCACGAGCCACAACUACUGAGCCCGCGUGCCACAACUACUGAAGCCCACACGCCUAGAGUCCAUGCUCCACAACAAGAGAAGCCACAGCAACGAGAAGCCCGCGCACCACAAUGAAGAGUAGCCCCCGCUGGCCGCAACUAGAGAAAGCCCGUGUGCAGCAACGAAGACCCAAC